UAGAUACCCCACUAUGCCUAACCGUAAACUUUUAAUUUACAUCAUAAUCGCCAGGGAACUACAAGCAAAGCUUAAAACCCAAAGGACUUGACGGUACCCCACAUCCCCCUAGAGGAGCCUGUCCUUUAAAUCGAUAAUCCCCGUUUAACCUCACCAUUUUUAGCUAUCAGUCUGUAUACCUCCGUCGUCAGCUUACCGCAUGAGCGACACAAAGUAAGCUUAAUGUUUAAAUAACCUCAACACGUCAGGUCAAGGUGCAACUUAUGAAAUGGGAAGAGAUGGGCUACACUCUCUAAUAUAGAAUAUACGAAAAACUAACUAUGAAAACUAGUUGGAAGGUGGAUUUAGAAGUAAAAAGAGAUCAGAGAACUCUUUUUAACACGGCACUGGGGUGUGUACACACCGCCCGUCACCCUCUUCGCAGCAAUAAUAUAGUAUUUAACACACAAAAGCACAGUAGAAGAGGUAAGUCGU
rnacentral:rRNA from 1 species